GGAGGGGUCGCAUAGUGGUCUAGUGCACCAUCUUGGAAAGGUGGCGUGCCGCAAGGCACCGUGGGUUCGAAUCUCACCCCCUCCGCCA
rnacentral:tRNA from 1 species